rnacentral:rRNA from 1 species
CCCCCGUUGAGAUUUCAUGGCCCGGUCGCGUGCGCGGCGCUGUGCCAGGGAUCCGUCGUUUCGACGGCGGCAAGUCGGGACUGCCGCAACCCCCCGUUGCCUUGCCCAGGUGUGUUAACUCGUCGCUCGGAGCGUUCUGUGUCUAGGAUGGGUGCACUCGCAAGAUUUGCGGGGCAGGGGCCCCGUCCGAUGACACGGCUCUCCCAUGCGUCGACUCCCACCUUUGCGAGGUGAUGGGGCGGGGACACACCAGAGCGUUCCUCGUCGCACCCAUUGGGUGCUCGGGGUUCGGGAUGUGUCAACACCCAACACACGGGUGCAUCGCGCACCUUAGAAAUCCAAAGAAUGAAGCGCGAUCCAGCGCCUUGCGCGCUCGGGUCGCCGAAAGACAAAAACAUAACAAAAUCACGACUCUCGGCAACGGAUAUCUCGGCUCUCGCCACGAUGAAGAAUGUAGCGAAAUGCGAUACUUAGUGUGAAUUGCAGAAUCCCGUGAAUCAUCAAGUCUUUGAACGCAAGUUGCGCCCGAGGCCUCGGCCAAGGGCACGUCUGCUUGGGCGUCGCACUACAAAAUUGCCCUCCCCAGCGAGGAGCGGAGAUGGCCGUCCGUGUCCCCAAGUGGCGCGGUCGGCUGAAAUGAGCACGAGGUCCGUCGAUCCGUCGCGACGAGCGGUGGCUCCCAAAAGGCCGGCGUUGGUUUGCGCUGAUCGAACGAUUCCUCGCGAGGAACUUUAUUCUGGGUCCAGCGGCCCGCCGCAGUGCGGGCAUGCUGCAUCUCUACCGCGUCCCCAAGUCAGGC